rnacentral:tRNA from 1 species
GCUCCCGUAGUUUAAUGGAUAAAAUAUCAGAUUCCGGUUCUGAUGCUAUGGGUUCGAAUCCCUUCGGGAGCA